AGUGUUUGAUCAAUUAGAUCUCGUCACAUAUGAAGAAGUAGUAAAACUACCAGCAUUCAAAAGGAAAACACUAGUCUUACUAGGUGCACAUGGUGUUGGAAGAAGACACAUAAAAAACACUCUCAUCACAAAACACCCAGACAGAUUUGCAUACCCUAUUCCUC